rnacentral:rRNA from 1 species
AGAGUUUGAUCCUGGCUCAGGGUAAACGCUGGCGGCGUGCCUAAAACAUGCAAGUCGAACGGGUCCCUUCGGGGGCCAGUGGCAGACGGCUGAGUAACGCGUGGGUGACCGACCUCGAAGUGGGGAAUAACUGCCCGAAAGGGUGGCUAAUACCGCGUGUGCUCUGGUCUUCGGUGACCAGAGGAAAGGUCCUUCGGGACCGCUUCGUGAGGGGCCCGCGUCCGAUUAGCUCGUUGGUGGGGUAACGGCCUACCAAGGCAGUGAUCGGUAGCUGGUCUGAGAGGAUGAUCAGCCAGACUGGGACUGAGAGACGGCCCAGACUCCUACGGGAGGCAGCAGUUAGGAAUUUUGGGCAAUGGGCGAAAGCCUGACCCAGCAACGCCGCGUGGGUGACGAAGGCCUUCGGGUUGUAAAGCCCUUUUCUGGGGGAAGAUGAUGACGGUACCCCAGGAAGAAGCACCGGCUAACUACGUGCCAGCAGCCGCGGUAAUACGUAGGGUGCAAGCGUUGCCCGGAUUUAUUGGGCGUAAAGGGUGCGCAGGCGGCCCGGCGCGUCCGCGGUGAAAGCUCCCGGCUCAACUGGGAGAGGUCCGCGGAGACGGUCGGGCUCGAGCAAGGUAGGGGGUCGUGGAAUUCCCGGUGUAGUGGUGGAAUGCGUAGAGAUCGGGAGGAACACCAGUGGCGAAGGCGGCGACCUGGACCUUUUGCUGACGCUGAGGCGCGAAAGCGUGGGGAGCGAUCCGGAUUAGAUACCCCCGUAGUCC